ACUAAACCCGCUCUGGUCUAAACUCUGGAUGAUUUGAUGAAGGUAUUUUUCUCGCCCAGUAGCUCCCAGCACGUCCUUAUCUAAUUAGAAUCUCAAACCAAACUUGGGGGGAUGGUGGUAUGGGUAUUAUUCCCAUUUUUAAAGCUAGGGCUACUUGAGAAGCAGAAAUGCAGUGAGGGGUUCAAGGUCACAGCAUGAAUGGAGAACCCGGCACUCUGCCUCCAGCCCCCAGGCACGCACGCAGGCUGUCAGCAGCAGCUCUGGGAGCCUGACAUCUGAGCCUCACCCUGGCUCCUGAUAGAAUUAUCAGCGAACUGGGGAACACAUACUUCCCGUAAUCAGGGCAACUUUUCUUAGCCAGGGGUGGAGGAAGCAAGAUGUGAAGUGUGUCUGAUGAGCUGCUCUUCCAGUGCAGGGCCUAGAGUGAAUAAAACCCAGGGAAAUCAUGGCAGACAGCUGGAGAUUCAAGCAGGCGAGCUCCAGGGGCAGGGCCACUGGGACUUUAGCUCCUGCACAAAGCCAGUCUCAUGGCAUUUUGUGCACGUUUCAGUCUUCAGCAGCCAGGCAGGCAAACGCGGGCAGCUUGGCAUGAAAAUUAAUUUAGACCUUAAAAGAAGUGUUUCAUCUUCAGUGGCUUUUCAGGCUGCCCCAAUACAGGUGCAGCAAAGGGAGAUGUGAGGGAGCAGUGGUGACAGAGGACCUGAGGGCUUGGGUGAAACCACAGCCUUGUACCUAAUGGCCUCAGGUAGGGAGGGGCAGAGAGUCCUGAGGCCGAGGCAGACCCUCACAGCAGCUCGGACGGGGGAGAAAGGAGAGGGGUUUCUGGGAAUAGAAUCAGCUGAGGCCAGCCAGGUAAAAAUCCAGCUAUUCUGACCCUCACCCAGGCCUGAGCCUGCCAAUCGGGAAUGUGACAAGCGUGUUGGUGGGAGGCUGGGCCUUCAGGGAGGGACAUCGUGUGCUUUUCAGCUUGUGAAGAAAUGUGAGGAUUCACUCUCCAUUUCCCAAGAUGCUCAAACAAGAGGAAAUCGGCUUACAUCAAGUGGAGACAGUUCAAGAGGCCCAGGAGCAGACUGGCUGGCUGGUCAUAAUGUAUUCAAAUGCAAUUAAGUCCAGUGAAAAGAAGGAGGGAGGCUGAGGCCCGGGAAGGGCCACACUGUGGAGGACCAAGGACAAGGCCUUCAGGGCACGUCCCCUGCUAGUGAGGAGAGGAGAAAAAAAUCUACCUAAGAGAACAGUUUUGGAGGUUCAGUGGAAGGACGGGUUGGAAGGACCUUGGCUUUUAUUGUGGAAGGCCCAGAGACGGCACAUUUGUGUUUCUCAAUCAACAGAAAGUCAAAGGGACCCAUGUCUUACCUGAAGGAGCCGAGGUGAGAGCAGAUCCCUGAGACUCCUUCUAACCAGAGCUCCUGUUAAUUUUUUUUUUUAUCUCUAGUUUCUGUUUAUUGGCAGAACAGCCUUGGGCAAAUCUCUUCCCCUCUCAAGGACUCAGUUCCAGAUCUGUAAAGUCUGGGGCUGCCAUGUGUGAUGGUGGAGGGUGUUCACUGCACAAGGACACCCAGCCAAGGGAGCUCCAGCCACACCGCGGUCUCCCUCCGGCCCUUGAUCGCGCUGGUUCCCUGCCAGGAGUGCCCGCUUAGCCUUGUCCUGCAGGCAGAAGCUCGUCAUCUGUGGCAGCUGCUGUCCCGGCGAUGCCCUGACCUUUACCACUUCAGUAUGUUCCAGUCCCACAUCCGGAUGCCAGCACCUGCGUUUCUUUGCCUGGAGCUUUCUCUGGCCUCUGGAACCUGCAUGUGCCACUCUGUGCUGGGCAGAGGCCAGAAGUGCCAGGGAAUUCCCCCUCUCCCCCCAAACAGGAACCCCCAGCCACUGACAAAAGUUGGUGUAUACACACCCCUGCUCUCUCACCCCUGCGGCGGGCUAAUUCCAAGGCGUGUUCUGCCAGAGCUCCUCAGUGCGAAUGAGCCCUAGCUGCCCAGUGAUAACCGGCUUGAGAAACCACCCAGGAUUGCCCACUUACCUGUCUUACUUCCGCACUCCCCACAGCGUUUUCCUUCGUCUCCCAAAUAAACUACUCACAUUCAAA